GGGCGUGCCAGCCUCCAGGCGUUCUAGGGGGUUUGUUUCUGUUUUUUCCCCUUUUUAUUACAGUACUUUUUCCCCCCUCUUAAUUAAGCAAAUAAACCGACGUCACGAGUCACGUCAGUGUGAGAAGUCAAAAGGGGCCUGGUGAAAAUUCCCGGAGUUGAUUUAUACGCUGCUUCAGUUAACACCCCCUAGACAAGCCAGCUCGCCAAAUCCUCCCUGGAGCACGUCUAACCAAAGAAAGAUCAGAGACUCCAGUGAAAGAAAAAAAAAAAAUCAAAAUUAAACCUUUUGGAAGUAAUUUGAAUAUUAAAUCAGCUUUAUGUAAAUAAAUGUAAAGAACAAAGUGAUUCAGGUAAGGUUUGGGGCUUUAUUACCGAUCAUAUUUUUCUUUAACGGGAUUAUUUAUAAAUACCUCUAGUAAGUAUCUUAAAAAUUAAGGACGUCCUUAAUCACUGCAUCUGUUGAGAAACUCAUUUUUUUUAAUUUUACUUGAAAGUAUCCAAAUUUUCAACAAUGCAUUUCAGAAAUGUGUGUAAGUUCAGUUGAAAUUUAAAUGGACCCAUACAGGAAUGGAAUCAAACAGCACUUCUUGACAAUUUACUAAUUAAUAAUGUGUUGUUUUUGUGACUUAUUAUCAAAGGCUAUUUUUAAGAGGAAUAAAGUCAAAGAAUAAAAUGCAUUUCUUGCCCCUAAUGUUAUAUGACGGUGCCCCUUAAAAAAUACACAGAGGAAAACCAAAAUUCCUGGCCCGGAUGGUCCUUUAGAGGAACAUGUGAAAGCUCCACUCCCCUGCACAGGGGAAGGAACUAGCUGGUAUGGUGAGUUGCCCUGCAAGGAACAGCAUGAAAGUAACUGACAAAAACAGAGUCAUAUCCCAAGUAAAGUGUCAAAAUGUUGCUGUUCUGAUGGCUAUCUUGGUUAUCUUUUAUCUUUCCUUCCGGUCUUCAAAUUAAAUGAUCCUAUAAUUCUGAGCUUUGAUGUGAAACAUUUUUCUGUUGUUUGAUGAGCACAGUACUAGCUGGGGUGGAUGGAGAGUCUAUUAAGAGGGAAACGGAGAAGCUCAGCUGCUCUGAAGGCUGAGGUGCCUGGACCCUGACCCUUAUGAUGGCAGAGGAAGGUCGUCCAACCUUUCCAUCUCUACAGAUUCCGCAUCUCUGGGAACCCUCCAGCGUGAGGAAGAAGAGGAGGCAGUGGGCCCAGCAUCAGAUGGCUUGCGUUCCUUCACAUGCUACAUGGCAACUCUCUCACUGCCCCCAUCACCAUGGGAAUGAGUGGGAAAAAGGCUCUGAGUGUGGAACUGCAGCUUCUGCAUGGACUUAUCCUACCGCUUCCCUGAUAAUGUAUGGAAUUUACAUGUGUGAUGGAUCAUGGACUCUACUUCAUGUCCAACCAGAGCAUUAAAAAACUGUGCUCCAUUUGUGUACCAUGAAUCAAACUGCAUUCUGCUAUCCUGUGUUAGAACAAAUAAAUAAAUAAAUAGAAUUUAUGGA